rnacentral:rRNA from 1 species
CCCCAGACUCCUACGGGAGGCAGCAGUGAGGAAUAUUGGUCAAUGGGCGGAAGCCUGAACCAGCCAAGUCGCGUGAGGGAAUAAGGCCCUACGGGUCGUAAACCUCUUUUGCCGGGGAGCAAGGGCGGGGACGUGUCCCGGCCCGGAGAGUACCCGGAGAAAAAGCAUCGGCUAACUCCGUGCCGGCAGCCGCGGUAAUACGGAGGAUGCGAGCGUUAUCCGGAUUUAUUGGGUUUAAAGGGUGCGCAGGCGGAGGUGCAAGUCGGCGGUCAAAUUGCGGGGCUCAACCUCGUCGAGCCGUUGAAACUGGGUGCCUUGAGUGGGCGAGAAGUACGCGGAAUGCGUGGUGUAGCGGUGAAAUGCAUAGAUAUCGCGCAGAACUCCGAUUGCGAAGGCAGCAUGCCGGCUCCACACUGACGCUGAGGCACGAAAGCGUGGGUAUCGAACAGGAUUAGAUACCCGGGUAAG